AUUGAACGCUGGCGGCAUGCCUUACACAUGCAAGUCGAACGGCAGCGGGGGAGAAGCUUGCUUUUCCUGCCGGCGAGUGGCGAACGGGUGAGUAAUACAUCGGAACGUGCCCUGGAGUGGGGGAUAACUAGUCGAAAGAUUAGCUAAUACCGCAUACGACCUGAGGGUGAAAGUGGGGGACCGCAAGGCCUCAUGCUAUAGGAGCGGCCGAUGUCUGGUUAGCAAGUUGGUGGGGUAAAGGCCUACCAAGGCGACGAUCAGUAGCUGGUCUGAAAGGACGAUCAGCCACACUGGGACUGAGACACGGCCCAGACUCCUACGGGAGGCAGCAGUGGGGAAUUUUGGACAAUGGGCGAAAGCCUGAUCCAGCAAUGCCGCGUGUGUGAAGAAGGCCUUCGGGUUGUAAAGCACUUUUGUCCGGAAAGAAAUGGCUCUGGUUAAUACCUGGGGUCGAUGGCGGUACCGGAAGAAUAAGGACCGGCUAACUACGUGCCAGCAGCCGCAGUAA
rnacentral:rRNA from 1 species